GACUUGCCGGCAUGCUUACCAUGCAGUCUGACGGGAUGUCGGCUUCGGCUGACUAGUACCGUGGCGAACGGGUGAGUAACACGUGGGUAGUCUCCCCUCGAGCUCGGGAUAACCUUGCGAAAGCGAGGCUAAUACCGGAUAAGACCACGCCCUGCACGCAGGGUGCGGUCAAAGGUGGCCUCUUCUUGAAAGCUAUCACUUGAGGAUGAGCCCGCGGCCUAUUAGCUAGUUGGUAGGGUAACGGCCUACCAAGGCGACGAUGGGUAGCCGGCCUGAGAGGGUGUACGGCCACACUGGCACUGAGACACGGGCCAGACUCCUACGGGAGGCAGCAGUGGGGAAUUUUGCGCAAUGGGGGAAACCCUGACGCAGCAACGCCGCGUGAGUGGUGAAGGCCUUCGGGUUGUAAAGCUCUUUUAGUGGGGAAGAAGCCCUCCCUGGCUAAUAUCCAGGGGGUCUGACGGUACCCACAGAAAAAGUUCCGGCUAACUACGUGCCAGCAGCCGCGGUAAUACGUAGGGAGCAAGCGUUGUUCGGAAUUAUUGGGCGUAAAGAGCGCGUAGGCGGUUCGGUAAGUCUGGUGUGAAAUCCCGGAGCUUAACUCCGGAACUGCAUUGGAUAUUGCCGGGCUUGAGUGUGGGAGAGGAGAGUGGAAUUCCCAGUGUAGAGGUGAAAUUCGUAGAUAUUGGGAGGAACACCCGUGGCGAAGGCGGCUCUCUGGACCACAACUGACGCUGAGGCGCGAAAGCUAGGGGAGCAAACGGGAUUAGAUACCCCGGUAGUCCUAGCCGUAAACGAUGGGCACUAGGUGUUGGAGGUAUCGACCCCUCCAGUGCCCGCAGCUAACGCAUUAAGUGCCCCGCCUGGGGAGUACGGUCGCAAGACUAAAACUCAAAGGAAUUGACGG
rnacentral:rRNA from 1 species